AGGUGGAAGCGUAGUGAUACGUGGAGCUGACGAAUACUAAUCGAUCGAAGACUUAAUCAAAUU
rnacentral:rRNA from 1 species